UUUAUCGGAGAGUUUGAUCCUGGCUCAGGACGAACGCUGGCGGCGUGCCUAAUACAUGCAAGUCGAGCGGACAGAUGGGAGCUUGCUCCCUGAUGUUAGCGGCGGACGGGUGAGUAACACGUGGGUAACCUGCCUGUAAGACUGGGAUAACUCCGGGAAACCGGGGCUAAUACCGGAUGGUUGUUUGAACCGCAUGGUUCAGACAUAAAAGGUGGCUUCGGCUACCACUUACAGAUGGACCCGCGGCGCAUUAGCUAGUUGGUGAGGUAACGGCUCACCAAGGCGACGAUGCGUAGCCGACCUGAGAGGGUGAUCGGCCACACUGGGACUGAGACACGGCCCAGACUCCUACGGGAGGCAGCAGUAGGGAAUCUUCCGCAAUGGACGAAAGUCUGACGGAGCAACGCCGCGUGAGUGAUGAAGGUUUUCGGAUCGUAAAGCUCUGUUGUUAGGGAAGAACAAGUGCCGUUCAAAUAGGGCGGCACCUUGACGGUACCUAACCAGAAAGCCACGGCUAACUACGUGCCAGCAGCCGCGGUAAUACGUAGGUGGCAAGCGUUGUCCGGAAUUAUUGGGCGUAAAGGGCUCGCAGGCGGUUUCUUAAGUCUGAUGUGAAAGCCCCCGGCUCAACCGGGGAGGGUCAUUGGAAACUGGGGAACUUGAGUGCAGAAGAGGAGAGUGGAAUUCCA
rnacentral:rRNA from 1 species